rnacentral:rRNA from 1 species
AGCUGUGAAAAAGCUCGUAGUUGAAUUUUUGUUGAUUGUCGCUUGUCUUGCAUUCAUUUGCUCGACGUAGCGUUGAAUUGACUUUGUGGGAUUACGUUGUGGAUCGGCACUUCGGUGUCGGUUUUCAUCGCCCGCCAUUUACUGUGAGGAAAUCCAAUCGCUCAAAGCACAUCUUAUGAUGAGAAGACUUCAGCACGGAAUAAUAAGACACGACACGUGCGUAGGAUGUGAAGGGAGUUUGUGAUGCGCAUGCAACUAACAUGAGACCAGGUUCGUUCUUGUUGGUUUAGCGAACAUGUAAUGAUGAAUAGGAACAGUUGGGGCAAUUUGUAUUUGAAAGUCAGAGGUGAAAUUCUUGGAUUUUUCAAAGACAAACUACAGCGAAAGCAUUUUGCAAGGAUGUUUUCAUUAAUCAAGAACGAAAGUGUGGGGAUCGAAGAUGAUUAGAUACCAUCGNANUCCACACCGUAAACGAUGCCGACUUGGAAUCGCCGGACGUCUUUUUAGUCGCCGGCGGCGCCAUAG